CCCACAGUCCUGGGCCCAGGGGCUUCAGCCCCGGUAAACCCCUGCAUUAAUCCGGCCCUGUAUGUAGGGAAUAGAUUGCCGUUUGAAACAAUUGUGUCUGAAAUGUGCAAAGUGUCUUUUUUUUCAUUUCCAUAUUACUGCUUAAAUUUACUCUAAUACAAACAACCUGUUUGAACAUAUGAGCCAUAAGGCCUAAACAAUAUCAUCAACAACAUUUUGCCAUAAGGCCUAAACAACAUCAUCAACAACAUAUUUUGCCAUAAGGCCUAAACAACAUAUCAUAUUUAAAAUUGACUUCAUCUUUUUUUUAUUUUACAUUUUUGGUAAUAUAUGUGACUUUAAUCAAUAUUAUAGUUUUAAUGCACAUUUUAAGUUUCACUCUUUGUAUAGCUGUCUGGGAUGAGUUGAUGCGAUGUCAGUCUCCACAAGACCAGAACUAUGCUAUCAGCUGUUAUUCAAUGUAUGGCCCCGUCCCAAACGGUUCCCUGUGUACUACUUGGGACCAGGGCCCUAUUUGUGUUCACUAUAAGGAAUAGGCCAGGGUGCCACUUGGGACUCGUAUUUAUGAAGAGGUUAGGAACUUGUUACGUGUAUUAAUUGACCCAUCUGUUCCCAACCAACAACGCUGCGUCUGGUGGUUCAGAAACCAGUGUAUCGAUAUCGUCUAGUGCUGCUCAACACAUGGACGAGACUAAACGCUUCUAUUAGCUUCUGACGUCACUUCCCUUUAAAAAAAAAAGAGAAAUAACUAUUAUUAUGUCAGUGAGGCGGCAGUACACCGUGAGGUGACUGUUCUACUGAACCCAACAGAACAGUGGCAGUACACCGUGUGGUGACUGUUCUCCUGAACCCAACAGAACAGUGGCAGUACACCGUGAGGUGACUGUUCUACUGAACCCAACAGAACAGUGGCAGUACACCGUGAGGUGACUGUUCUCCUGAACCCAACAGAACAGUGGCAGUACACCGUGAGGUGACUGUUCUCCUGAACCCAACAGAACAGUGGCAGUACACCGUGUGGUGACUGACUGUUCUACUGAACCCAACAGAACAGUGGCAGUACACCGUGUGGUGACUGACUGUUCUCCUGAACCCAACAGAACAGUGGCAGUACACCGUGAGGUGACUGACUGUUCUACUGAACCCAACAGAACAGUGGCAGUACACCGUGAGGUGACUGACUGUUCUCCUGAACCCAACAGAACAGUGGCAGUACACCGUGAGGUGACUGACUGUUCUCCUGAACCCAACAGAACAGUGGCAGUACACCGUGAGGUGACUGACUGUUCUACUGAACCCAACAGAACAGUGGCAGUACACCGUGAGGUGACUGACUGUUCUCCUGAACCCAACAGAACAGUGGCAGUACACCGUGAGGUGACUGUUCUACUGAACCCAACAGAACAGUGGCAGUACACCGUGAGGUGACUGACUGUUCUACUGAACCCAACAGAACAGUGGCAGUACACCGUGAGGUGACUGUUCUACUGAACCCAACAGAACAGUGGCAGCACACCGUGAGGUGACUGUUCUACUGAACCCAACAGAACAGUGGCAGUACACCGUGAGGUGACUGUUCUACUGAACCCAACAGAACAGUGGCAGUACACCGUGAGGUGACUGUUCUCCUGAACCCAACAGAACAGUGGCAGUACACCGUGAGGUGACUGUUCUCCUGAACCCAACAGAACAGUGGCAGCACACCGUGAGGUGACUGACUGUUCUCCUGAACCCAACAGAACAGUGUAAUGUAUUAUUCAUCUGAUUUUUUCUAUUUGUCUCCUGUAAAUAUGUGAAGAGUUUGAAAGGCUUAUUAUUACCUGGGUGUUUGAAACGGGUUUAUAUAUCAUCAAGUUCUUGGUGUAAAAUAAUAAAACACGUUGUUUAAACUGGUUUAA